AAGGAUCAUUAUCGUAGGGCUCCGGCCCUGUCGAGAUAGAACCCUUGCCUUUUUCGAGUACCGUCCGUUUCCCCAGCAGGCUUGCCUGCUACCGGGGACCCAAAACCAAACUCUUUGUACCUGUAAUCGUCUGAAAACAAAACAAAAAUUAAAACUUUUAACAACGGAUCUCUUGGUUCUG
rnacentral:misc_RNA from 1 species